GGGCGGGACACGUGGUAUCCUGUCUGAAUAUGGGGGGACCAUCCUCCAAGGCUAAAUACUCCUGACUGACCGAUAGUGAACCAGUACCGUGAGGGAAAGGCGAAAAGAACCCCGGCGAGGGGAGUGAAAAAGAACCUGAAACCGUGUACGUACAAGCAGUGGGAGCACAGGUUUACCUGUGUGACUGCGUACCUUUUGUAUAAUGGGUCAGCGACUUAUAUUCUGUAGCAAGGUUAACCGUAUAGGGGAGCCGGAGGGAAACCGAGUCUUAAUUGGGCGUUAAGUUGCAGGGUAUAGACCCGAAACCCGGUGAUCUAGCCAUGGGCAGGUUGAAGGUUGGGUAACACUAACUGGAGGACCGAACCGACUAAUGUUGAAAAAUUAGCGGAUGACCUGUGGCUGGGGGUGAAAGGCCAAUCAAACCGGGAGAUAGCUGGUUCUCCCCGAAAGCUAUUUAGGUAGCGCCUCGUGAAUUCAUCUCCGGGGGUAGAGCACUGUUUCGGCUAGGGGGCCAUCCCGGCUUACCAACCCGAUGCAAACUGCGAAUACCGGAGAAUGUUAUCACGGGAGACACACGGCGGGUGCUAACGUCCGUCGUGAAGAGGGAAACAACCCAGACCGCCAGCUAAGGUCCCAAAGUCAUGGUUAAGUGGGAAACGAUGUGGGAAGGCCCAGACAGCCAGGAUGUUGGCUUAGAAGCAGCCAUCAUUUAAAGAAAGCGUAAUAGCUCACUGGUCGAGUCGGCCUGCGCGGAAGAUGUAACGGGGCUAAACCAU
rnacentral:rRNA from 1 species